ensembl:lncRNA
AUAUGCGUAUAUGACAGGAUGUGAUCGUGAAGUGGGCGGAGCUUAAAGCCUUGCUAAAUUUUAAAUAACGAUGUGAUCGUGAAGUGGGCGGAGCUUAAAGCCUUGCUAAAUUUUAAAUAACGUGGUGGUCGUAAGUGGACAAACAGUCAGCAGUAAACCGUUUUAUUUAUCUCUUUUCUCCACUCACAACCAGCACAUGACCUGAAAGUUAGCAUCUUUUCAGAAAUAUACGACGAUGAUGCGAUUGUGAAGUGGGCGGAGCUUAAAGCAUUCUUCCGAGAUGCUCAUUUUAAGAUAAUGCAGUGGUCACAAGUGGACAAAAACUCAAGAGAAAAAGGUUUUUGUCCACUCAUGACCACCACAUGACUGGAAACACGGCAGCUUUUUCAGAGACAUGACGUGAUCGUGAGGUGGGCGGAGCUUAAAACCUUUGAAGUUUAGAGUUUCCACAUUGAACCGCGUUUCAGAUAAUCUGGUAGUUGCAAAAACUCAACAGGCACCUUGUAUAAGCUUUACGACAUGAUGUGAUUGUGAUUGUGAAGUGGGCGGAGCUUGACACAUUCUUAAAAGCAACCAAAACACUGAAAUAAACAGAUUUUUCUUGAUUUUUUUCAUUCUUUGUUAGUUGUUGUUGUUUAUUUUCCCCCUCAUUUGCUCUGAAUGCAUUUUGAUCCAAUAAUUUGAUCCAAAUUAAAGGACAACAUUAUUUAUUUGUUCUCACUGUUAUUAUUAUUUUAUAUAUUUGUUUUACUAUUAUACAUAUAUUAUAUAUAGCACAGCUGAUACCACCCAAGUUCGCUGUACACACACAUAUAACCGUAUAUUAAUAAAAAUAUUGUUAUUUAUUAUUGCCAUUUCUCAAUCUAUUCUAUUUCUACCGUUUGUCUUCGAGCUUAUUUUCUUCUGUUUUGAAACUACUUUAGUCAUAAAAGGUGUUCAUUAAAUAACGUUCACUUGACAUUGAGAUUUUCUUUGCGGUAUUUCGACUCAUAGCGCUAAUCAAUAAACACAAACCUGACUAGCACUGACACCAUCGUAACUUUAUGUACAAUAAUAAUCUGCUACACACAUAGUAUUACUGAUAAAUAAUCCAUUAUAGCUUUAUCACACACACACACACACACACACA